GUUCUAGAUUUUCUUAUUACAGAUCCUUGCGAACGGAGAACGGAAAAAAAAAAGGGUUUCCGAUCUAUAUCUGAAACUCCGAUUAUCCUUCUCUAUAUUUUGUUUUAUAUAUUUUUUUACUACUAGUACUAGAUUUCUUUCUUAUCAAGUUAGAAAAAGGAAACAAAAUUUUUUAGGGCUUUUCCCUGAGAAGGGAAGCCAACCCGGGGACGAUGACUUUGUUUCCUCUCUCACAAUUUUUGGGCUUCAAUGCGGGAGGUUCCCAUGUCAUCAUUACCGGCUGUACCGGCUUCUCUUCCUCGCUGCCGGAAAAUUUCACCGGCGGCGGUGAUGAUGAUGAAAGCAACGUAAACGAAUUGGAAUCGUAAGACGAUUGCCCACCAAAAAUCAGCUCUAAUUCUCCAAAUUCAGAAUCAGAUAGUUGUUUACUCUCAACUUCUUCAACAAGCUUCUUCUCCUUGACCUCACUCUUCACUGUGGCUUCUCCGGUUCGGAUGUGUGGGCUAAGCCAUUUCGCUUUUAUAUACUCAGCUUUACGCCAUGGAGCGAUGUGCAUGCCUUUCUUCUUCAAACU
rnacentral:misc_RNA from 1 species